CCUCCAUUCACUUAUGAUAGAUAUAUUUGCAUAUGGCACAAUGACCAAGGACACCAAGUGUGCUUAUCAAUCGAAUUAAUCACAUUAGCCAUCUCAACCCACAUUCAAAACCAAGGGCUCCUCGUUUCUGCAGCCCACCGUGAAAACCAACGGACUGCUGCCGCCAAUUCUCUUCCACGCCAAAAAGUUUUUCUGCGCGCCAUGUUUUUUCCUCGCUGGCGCUAAUUCCUUUCAUCCGCAGCUCAAUUUUUUUGCCAUCUCCCGAUCAAAACGAUGCGCCCUAUGCCUAGGCUUCCAAUUUCUGUCUUCCGCCUAUUUUUUCUCUUCCACCCGCGCCAAAUCCUUCUCCUCUCCGUUUGAUUUUUUUGGCAUCGCAAGAUGAAAACGGCGCGCCCUAAUGCCCGGGCUUCCCUUCAAAACUUGAGAAAUGCAUCUAUAAAUACUCCACCAUGGAUUAGAAGCAGUCUGCAACUUUUCCCCUGCCUUCUUCUAGCCUCGACCAAUUUCAGUACCAAUGAUGCCCGAUGGGUUAGACCUCAAUGCCGAACCUCCUAUAGACUGGGAUGAAAUUAGUGAGUGGGAAGGGCAUGCAUAUGAACUCGAUUAUGACUUGGUGUGGACUGAUGAAGGUGCCUCGCAAGAAGAGCAGUCUGGUGGUAAUGGAGAAGGUGGUGGACGUGCAAGAGCUGCUGGACAACGGAGAGCCAACGUAGCUGCUGGUGAUGGGUCUGCUGGACAACAACGAUCUGACGAAGCUGCCGGGGCUGUUGGACAUGCAAGAGCUGAUGGAGGACCUACUGGACAUGAUGGAGCUACUGACGAUGGAAUAGCUGCAGCAGGUUUUGUCCCUGCUGCUGAUGGAGAAGGCACUGGACAAGGAUUAAAUAUAUCGAUCAUAUAUGAAUUUUUCAAUUUUGGUAAUAUAUCUAUCAUAAAUGAAUGGAGGGAGUAGAUGAGUGCAGAAAAACUGAGUAUAGAGGAGAGAAUAUCGAUGAUCAGACUAGAAAUAUUUUUUUAGGGAAGAAAAAUAGUGGAGGAUGAUAUUUGAUCUUAAGCACCCUUCAACAGCGCGUACUACGGUCCAUUCAUUUGCGUGCUUUAUGACGACAGUUGCGACAAGUGGAGUAGGUUCUUUCGCACAACGACGGCCAUGCGCAGCCGACGGUCGCACCGAAUCUCCACCCAGGGCCCAGCAGCAGCGACACAACGCCGCCGAAAAGGACCAUCCACCUGCUGGAAGCGGAAGCGGAAGCGGAGCCUUCGAUUCGAAGCCAGCCCAGCCCGAUCCCGACCGCGUCCGGUCCGAGCCGUCGUCGCCACGGGCCCGGCCUACUACAAACGCCAAGGCCGAACCGGCCACGGCAACCGCAAGGCCUGCAGCGACCGAACCUCCACCACCCGCACACGCGCACCACCGCGCGUCCGCGCACGAGCCCCACCCACCACCACCACCGCACCGCAGCGAGCCGACGGGGAGGAGGGAGCGGGAGCACCCCGGUCGUCGCGGACGGAGAUGAGGGGCGGAUCCAGACCGACACCGGCCGCCGUGUUCUUCCUCGCCGCCGCCGGGAUCUGCGCCCAGUUCGCCGCAGUGCUAGCUGGUGAUUCCAAGGAUGAUAAGAAAGCUGAAGCUCAGCCAAAGGGUCAUACUGGCAAAACAGUUUUGUUCGCCCUCCUAGGUGUUGGGGCUGUCAUUCUGUUGUCAUUUUUCAUUUUCAAGUAUUGGCAGAAGAAGAAAAGGGAGGAACAACAUGCACGUCUGCUAAAGCUAUUUGAAGAGGACGACGAUAUUGAAGUCGAGCUUGGUCUUAGAGAUUGAUAAUCUUCAAUGUACAGCAAGAGUAUCUUGGCUGACAAGGUAAUUCCUAGGGCACCAUAAAUUGUAUUAUGAAAAGUAUCACAAUCCUGGUACAGUUUCAUUUUCAAAUUUAAAAUACGAAUUUAUAAAAUUGUCCA